CCUGUAACAAGUAUUAUGGUUAACUGUGGAAGUCGUGCAGAUCGGUACCAUAAGGAUUUUUUCGUAUACCUACUGUGACAAAAUCUGUGCAUUACCUACAUAUUAACGAAGAAGGGAUAUGUGGUUAGCAGCUCAAGAGAGAAGAUCUAACUGAAUCAAUUAUUAGGAACCAAGGAGUAUGUAGCAGACAUUUCAUAACGGUGUAACGAAGGAAGUGAUCUGGGUGAUACAGAGCAAGCAGGGCAAAGCAGAUUGAGAGGCUGUGCUAAACAAACAGACUUGACAAUGACCAUGUUAAGUACACAAGUUGAGCAGUUCAACUUUGCCACCAGAAAAAUAGAAGACUUAGAAAAGAAAGUUCAAAACACUCCUCGGUGACUAAUGGACAAUAUCAAUAAUGUAUUUUUGUGGAAGUAUUAUUGUGGGUUCGAUCAUAAAUUCAUCAAAGCAGCUAUUUUUCCAGAAAUAGAACCUCACAUUUCAUCAACAUCAACAACACUACUGAGUCCUAACAAUCAAAUGUUACUCACAUUAGUAAAAUUGACGUAUGUUUGAACAAUAAAAAUAUUUGAGAGAAACUCAA